UACUGACGUGCUCGGAAUUAUCAAAGGAAAAGCAAGUGCAAUUUCCAGAAUAUUACGAAAAGCUAAUAAAAUCAAGUAUGACAUUUAUAAAUAAUAAUAUAUAUAUUUCACAAUUGUAAAUGACCGGUAGUAUCGCCCGAGACAAAUAGUAGUUUAAUAUCAAAGAGUGCGUGUAUGGAACGAGUAUGUUAAGAUCUUCUACUUUCACACCACGUGUCUAUAAUGUUUGCAGAUUUUUCUAGAGCUACAUGAAGUAUAUUUUAAGCUAUUUCAUUUGGAUGUAGCUUUAAUUAGUUUCAUCUCAAUUAGUUUUUUUUUUUUUUUUUUUUUUUGGCAUUUAUUAGAAUUUAUUAUCAACGAUCAUAUAUUUUUGUGAUAUAUUUUUGUGAUAUACUUGGUGCAGGUAGAGUUAAGAAAUGUAGAUUUUGACACUUCAAAAGGGAGACAACUUUUUGAACCUGAACAGACAUGAGACAUCCCCACUUGAUGAAGAUCAACAAGGUGCUACAUGCUGGAAGGUGUCCAAGAAGCGAGAUAGUGAACAAAGAAGACGGAAACGAAUCAGUGACAAGUUACAAGUUCUUGAUAAUCUUGUUCCUCAUUCUCACAAGGCAAAAUUGACUUCAACACCAUGUUGUGGGUGCAUCCAACAUCACCAACUUUGACUAGCAGCUAAAACACCAUCAACUAUUGGUUUGGGUGCAGCUUGUGACGCCGGAGUUACAUUUCUUCACCGACGAUUGGGAAUCCGUACUAAUUUUUUAUCCCAUUUUCCCAUUUAUCUUAGUAAAUACGUACUAACUUAAGCUUGUAAUUACCGAGAAAAGGAUGGAUAAGUGAAAGAAAAAGGGAAAAAUGGGAAGAAAAAAAACUAGUAUGGAUUACUUAGCGUCGGUGAGAAAAUACAGCUCCGGUGUAGUUAAUGGCACUCAAUGCACGCAAGUGAUCAAUAGUUGAUGGUGUUUUGGUGGCUAGUAGUCAAAGUUGAUGGUGCUGAAUUGGUGGGUGUUUCCACAAUAUAGUUAAUGGUGUUGAGUCCAAUUUUACUUUUGAUUUAUAUACAUGAGUAGAAUAGGGAUUUCUUAUAUUUUUCCCACUUAUGCGUAUUAUCGAUUUAUUAAUAUUGAAGUAAGAUUUUGUGAGAUGACCAAGAUCACUAAUAGUGGUGUUGUUUUUAACAAUCCCGCAGAGACCACGCAACGAUCCUUGAUAAUGCGACCAAGUACAUCAAGAACUUGAAGAAUCAUAUUGGGGUAACAACUAACAACAAAAGAAAAAUUAUAUCCACUUUUUGCAUACUUGAAGAGUUCUAUUGUAUCUCCCCGUAAAGGUUUAUAAAAAAAAUUGACCA